AUGCCGUGCUUUACCUCAGACUCGUCUCCGUCUUCGACAAACUCAAACGCAAUACCGUCAUACCAAGCUUCGUCGGCCGCGAAUCCAUCGUCUCAACACUCGACCUCUGUCUCCUUCGCGAUGCUUCUCAACCUCUUAGUCUCAAUAUGUCAUCAUUCGCCAUCUUCAUCAACUCUCAGAUUUUGGGCGAUUUCAUGCCUCACGAUCGUCUGGCGCGUCUUUACUUAUGAUAGUGGUUGUAACAAGAACUAA